AGGGGGAGCGUUGGUCCUGGGCAGUGUCCCCGGCGCCCUGUGCUCCCGGGCCUGCGUUGCUGGAAUCGCGCUCCUGGCUGUGCAGCCUUCU
rnacentral:pre_miRNA from 1 species